rnacentral:rRNA from 1 species
CGUGUAGCAAUACACAGUCGAGCGGCGAACGGGUGAGUAACGCGUGGAUACCUGCCCUUCAGCGGGGAAUAACCCGGGGAAACUCGGGCUAAUACCGCAUACGACCGAGAGGCGAAAGGGGGCCGCAAGGCUCUCACUGAAGGAGGGGUCCGCGUCCGAUUAGCUAGUUGGUAGGGUAAAGGCCUACCAAGGCGACGAUCGGUAGCCGGCCUGAGAGGGUGAUCGGCCACACUGGAACUGAGACACGGUCCAGACUCCUACGGGAGGCAGCAGUGGGGAAUUUUGCGCAAUGGGCGGAAGCCUGACGCAGCAACGCCGCGUGGAGGAUGAAGGUCCUUGGA